CCUCUUGUGUUGUAUCUUCGUCAGCAGACUGUCCCUCCUUCCUGCAUAAUUUCAGACCUGUGUCAGCCAUGGACAGGAGAUGUUGCAAGGGAGUUUGGCAUACCAAGGUUGAUGUUCAAUGGCUUCUGCGCCUUCUCUUCGCUCUGCAGGUAACUUAGUCACCCUAUCCGUCUCCGGUGCAUUCUAUUGACAGUAGAAUUUAAUCAAUACCAUUGCUUUAUUUUUAUCGGACAACUGUGAUUAAAUUAUAUAUUAGGUCUAGUAGAAAUUUGAAGGGAUAAUAUUGUACUUUUUAUUGUGAUCUUUAUUGAAAGAACAAAAUUACAAACUACUAAUCAAUUAAUUAACAAAGUACAAAAAUACCUUUUUUAAUCAAUGACUGAGAUUAGUUCUACUGGUAGUAUAAUACUACCAGUAAAAUGCACCGGAGAGGGAUCCCCACCAUCAACAUUCUUCUCCUUUCUUUCUCAAGUUGUGCCAAUUUUCUAGG
rnacentral:lncRNA from 1 species